GGUAGUAUGUAGGGUCUGAUAGAGGGAGGUAGUAUGUAGGGUCUGAUAGAGGGAGGUAGUAUGUAGGGUCUGAUAGAGGGAGGUAGUAUGUAGGGUCUGGGAGAGGGAGGUAUUAUGUAGGGUCUGAUAGAGGGAGGUAGUAUGUAGUCCCUUAUAGAGGGAGGUAGUAUGUAGGGUCUGAUAGAGGGAGGUAGUAUGUAGUGUCUGAGAGAGGGAGGUAGUAUGUAGUCCAUGACAGAGGGAGGUAGUAUGUAGGGUCUGAUAGAGGGAGGUAGUAUGUAGGGUCUGAGAGAGGGAGGUAGUAUGUAGUCCCUGAUAGAGGGAGGUAGUAUGUAGGGUCUGAGAGAGGGAGGUAGUAUGUAGGGUCUGAGAGAGGGAGGUAGUAUGUAGGGUCUGAGAGAGGGAGGUAGUAUGUAGGGUCUGAUAGAGGGAGGUAGUAUGUAGUCCCUGACAGAUGGAGGUAGUAUGUAGUCCCUGAUAGAGGGAGGUAGUAUGUAGGGUCUGAUAGAGGGAGUUAGUAUGUAGGGUCUGAUAGAGGGAGGUAGUAUGUAGGGUCUGAGAGAGGGAGGUAGUAUGUAGGGUCUGAUAGACACUACCCUCUGCAACUGGAUCCUGGACUUCCUGACGGGCCGACCACAGGCUGUGAGGAUUGGCAACAACACCUCCUCCACACUGACUCUUAACACAGGGGGCCCCCCAGGGAUGUGUCCUUAGUCCUCUGCUGUACUUCCUGUUCACCCACGACCGAAUGGCUUUGCAGGACACCAACUCCAUCAUCAAGUUUGC
rnacentral:lncRNA from 1 species